rnacentral:lncRNA from 1 species
GUAAGGCCCCCGUGUUUACCCCAGGGGACAGGGUUCUCAACCCGGAACCUGCCCCUCCGCCUGCCCUGCCGGAACUUGGGUCUGUGAUUUGUGGGGCCGUUUAAAGUCCUGAGGAGAAUAAACAAGGCCGGUGGUAGCUGGUCCACUGCAGGACGCUGAGGUGCGGGAGAUCCCUCCGCCCCCCCCUGGACAUCGGGGGGUCCCCGGCGUACACAGUCCGGUCCAUCUUGGACUCCAGGCGUCGGGUAGGGGGCCUGCAGUACCUCGUGGACUGGGAGGGGUACGGUCCGGAGGAGAGGUGCUGGGUACCAGUGGAGGACAUCUUGGAUCCAUCACUGUUGCGGGAAUUCCACAGCCUCCAUCUGGAUUGCCCUGCGCCUCGCCCUCCGGGUCGUCCUCGAGGCCGGCGUCGGCGCGCUGCGGGAGCUGCGCAUCAGGGGAGGGGGGGUACUGUCACAACGUCCACAGAAGGUGGUGCCUCUCCCCGUUCUGGCGGCGCUCGGCGGUCGUCGUCGCCGGCCUACUAGCUGCCACCGAUCUCCUUUUCUUUUUCAUUUGGUGAUGUCUGUUUUUGUUAGCACCUGUUUUGAGUUAGUUCAUUUGUGAGGGUAUUUAGUCUGUCUGUUUUGGUUUGGGAUUGUGCGGGAUUGUUUCGUGUCAUUUUAUUGGAUGUUGGGGAUUUGAUUUUCCUCUGCCGUUUCGUAUUAGGUAUUAGGGUUUGCUGGGCUGCGUCCCGACUCGAUUUAGGGCUGUUACCUAUCGUUUGAGUUCUGUACCCUGCCUUGUUUUUUCGGCACUUUGGACUGUAUUCAUUAAAACGUGUUUUCC